rnacentral:rRNA from 1 species
UACGUAGGUGGCAAGCGUUAUCCGGAAUUACUGGGCGUAAAGCGCACGCAGGCGGCGCAGCAAGUUCGACGUGAAAGCUCCCGGCUUAACUGGGAGAGGUCGUUGAAGACUGCUGUGCUUGAGGCAAUGAGAGGGGUGUAGAAUUCCCGGUGUAGUGGUGGAAUGCGUAGAUAUCGGGAGGAACACCAAUGGCGAAGGCAGCUCGCUGGGCCGGACCUGACGCUGAGGCGCGAAGGCGUGGGGAGCGAACGGG